rnacentral:RNase_P_RNA from 1 species
GGUAGAGAGAGCCCGGCUCCCGCGGGACGCGUGAGGAAAGUCCCCCCCCCGUCCGGGCAGGCGACCGGGCGCAAGCCCGGGGUCGGAGACGGCCGGCUCUGGAACAGCAACGACACGUCCCCGCCCGACCGAUGAGGUCCGCGACGCCGCCCGCGAGGGGGGCAAGACCCGACCGAGGGCCGACGGCGGGGGAGCGGUGGAACGACCACCCUCGCCGGUGCAAGUCCGCGCGACAGGUAGCCCGGGCACACCACCGAGGUUUCCCUCGGCGUGCCCCCCGGCACGGCCGGGGACGGCGCGGACGCUCAGCCGAAUGCCGGGUCGAACAGAAGGGGGCUUACUCCUCUCUGCC